UACGUAGGGCGCAAGCGUUGUCCGGAAUUACUGGGCGUAAAGCGCACGUAGGCGGUCUUUUAAGUCGGUGGUGAAAUCCUGGAGCUCAACUCCAGAACUGCCUUCGAUACUGGAAGACUUGAGUCCGGGAGAGGUGAGUGGAACUGCGAGUGUAGAGGUGAAAUUCGUAGAUAUUCGCAAGAACACCAGUGGCGAAGGCGGCUCACUGGCCCGGUACUGACGCUGAGGUGCGAAAGCGUGGGGAGCAAACAGG
rnacentral:rRNA from 1 species